AAUACGAAGGGACCUAGCGUAGUUCGGAAUUACUGGGCUUAAAGAGUUCGUAGGUGGUUGAAAAAGUUGGUGGUGAAAUCCCAGAGCUUAACUCUGGAACUGCCAUCAAAACUUUUCAGCUAGAGUAUGAUAGAGGAAAGCAGAAUUUCUAGUGUAGAGGUGAAAUUCGUAGAUAUUAGAAAGAAUACCAAUUGCGAAGGCAGCUUUCUGGAUCAUUACUGACACUGAGGAACGAAAGCAUGGGUAGCGAAGAGGAUUAGAUACCCUCGUAGUCCAUGCCGUAAACGAUGUGUGUUAGACGUUGGAAAUUUAUUUUCAGUGUCGCAGCGAAAGCGAUAAACACACCGCCUGGGGAGUACGACCGCAAGGUUAAAACUCAAAUGAAUUGACGGGGACCCGCACAAGUAGUGGAGCAUGUGGUUUAAUUCGAAGAUACGCGCAGAACCUUACCAACACUUGACAUGUUCGUCGCGACUUUAAGAGAUUAAAGUUUUCGGUUCGGCCGGACGAAACACAGGUGCUGCAUGGCUGUCGUCAGCUCGUGUCGUGAGAUGUUGGGUUAAGUCCCGCAACGAGCGCAACCCUCACUUUUAGUUGCCAUCAUUAAGUUGGGCACUCUGAAAGAACUGCCAGUGAUAAGCUGGAGGAAGGUGGGGAUGACGUCAAGUCCUCAUGGCCCUUACGUGUUGGGCUACACACGUGCUACAAUGGUAUCUACAACAGGAAGCAAAACGGCGACGUUAAGCAAAUCCUUAAAAGAUACCUCAGUUCGGAUUGCACUCUGCAACUCGAGUGCAUGAAGCUGGAAUUACUAGUAAUCGUGGAUCAGCGUGCCACGGUGAAUGCGUUCCCGGGUCUUGUACACACCGCCCGUCACACCAUGGGAGUUGGUUCUACCUUAAGGCAAGGUUUCAAACCCUUGACCACGGUAUAGUCAGC
rnacentral:rRNA from 1 species